UGCAAGUCGAGCGGAAACGACUUAACUGAACCUUCGGGGAACGUUAAGGGCGUCGAGCGGCGGACGGGUGAGUAAUGCCUGGGAAAUUGCCCUGAUGUGGGGGGUAACCAUUGGAACCGAUGGCUAAUACCGCAUAAUAGCUUCGGCUCAAAGAGGGGGACCUUCGGGCCUCUCGCGUCAGGAUAUGCCCAGGUGGGAUUAGCUAGUUGGUGAGGUAAGGGCUCACCAAGGCGACGAUCCCUAGCUGGUCUGAGAGGAUGAUCAGCCACACUGGAACUGAGACACGGUCCAGACUCCUACGGGAGGCAGCAGUGGGGAAUAUUGCACAAUGGGCGCAAGCCUGAUGCAGCCAUGCCGCGUGUAUGAAGAAGGCCUUCGGGUUGUAAAGUACUUUCAGCAGUGAGGAAGGUGGUGCAGUUAAUAGCUGUAUCAUUUGACGUUAGCUGCAGAAGAAGCACCGGCUAACUCCGUGCCAGCAGCCGCGGUAAUACGGAGGGUGCGAGCGUUAAUCGGAAUUACUGGGCGUAAAGCGCAUGCAGGUGGUUCGUUAAGUCAGAUGUGAAAGCCCGGGGCUCAACCUCGGAAUUGCAUUUGAAACUGGCGGACUAGAGUACUGUAGAGGGGGGUAGAAUCUCAGGUGUAGCGGUGAAAUGCGUAGAGAUCUGAAGGAAUAC
rnacentral:rRNA from 1 species